CAGCGGCAAAUACGCAUGUCUUGUUUGUCCUCACAAUCCCAUUCUUGAUUCUCCUCUCAUGCUCUCUGCAAGCUACUGCAUACCUUACCUUCUUAUCUUCUCUGUUAGUUUUUGUCUUUUUUCUUUUCCUGUUAUUUCAUUCAUUAUUCAUUGAAAAUCCAAAUGGGAUAUAUAUAGAACUUGCUGUUGCUAAUUACCAAGCCCUUUUGUGUGAUAUGGUAUCUUCUUUUGUGAUGAGCUGCUCAAUGCACUCCAUAAUCAUAAUCACACUUGAUCAUUGAAAAUCUUCGGCAGUCGGAUCAGUAGCUUAAAUUUCGUAUGCAAUUGUCUAGAAAAAGGGGUUAAUUGAUAUUCUGUUAAUCUUCAAUUGUCUGUUUCUUUUCAAUUCUUAGUGGAUCUGCCUGCCAAUUGGGCUUUACUGUUUGGAUGCCAAGGUUUCUUUGCAUACAAUUGGUUUUCGGGUUGUUAAGUGUUGUUUUUCUCAGGUGCAUAGCAUUGGCUCACGCCAUCUUGCUGCAGAAUCCAGGCUGAAGAAAAAAGAAUCUGUGAGAAAGGAUGAGAUAAACAAGAGACUGGCAUUAUCAGAUUCUCCUGUUGGCUCAUUCGACUCUACUAAUUUAAACAACAAAGGUUAGGUUAACUACUAAACCAUUAACUGAACAGACAAGGAACGUUGCUUCUGAGGUACUAUGGAGUAAAACUCCCCAGCAGAAUUCUGGAAACCAAAAUUGUGAUGUGAAAUUGAGCAAGGG
rnacentral:misc_RNA from 1 species